AUGUCGGAAGAAGCUCACAGAGUGGCAGUAUCAUCAGGAGACGAUGUACUUGUUCGAGGUUCACUGCAGUUUCAACAGCGAGAGAAUACGUCGGAAGAAGCUCACAUAGUGGAAGUAUCGUCAGGAGAUGGUGUGAUGGUUGGAGGUCCAUCACAGUCUCAGCAGCAAGAGAUCACUGUUGACGAGGGAGCCAAUGGCAUGUCGGUGGACAGACGGUUGGCGGCACUAGUCGUGGACAAGGUCAACGACGAGUGGUCCACUUUUCGGGGAUGGAUGCUGCUCCUGACGUCGCUGGUAGCCACUGUAACCUUUGCUGCUGGGCUCAGCCCACCCGGUGGUUUCUGGUCAGUCGAUGACAAGGUGCACGGAUACGUCGCUGGUACAUCAAUUAUGCAUGACAAAUUUGCCCUGAGGUACUCGCUCUUUCAGUUCAGCAACACGGCGGCUUUCUUCUGCUCCUUGAUGAUCAUUGCAAUACUCGCCAGAAGCAUAAAUACCGAGGGCACUACCAGAAACAACUGUUUUUUCGCAUUCCUUGUCUUUUUUUGUUUUAUUAGCUUGGCGACUAGCUACAUCGCUGGCUCGUGGAACGGCCCCUCGGUAGGGAUCUAUAACAUUUGCAUGUUUUUUCUAGUCCUUAUCUACAUGCUGCUGUCUCGGAUUUUCAGUCAGAACCUCUGGUGCGGAAGCUGCACCAAGACCCUGGAAUCCAUGGUUUAA
rnacentral:rRNA from 1 species